rnacentral:rRNA from 1 species
AUGUGCUCAUACCCCAUGACCCAACUGCCCCAUCCGCCCGAACGGGACACAAUUCGACAUGUGAAUCCCCUCCGGCAGACGCAGUCUCGUCGCCGGGAACCAGAUCGACCUUCCAUCCAUAUCAACGCCCGGGUCUACAGAUUUCUUCUCGAUUUGCCCAAUGGAUCUUGGUGCGGAGUCAUUCACGGAUCUCCGGUUCAGGUUUCUCCUCUCAUAAGCUCCUCUGUUUCUUGCAUCGUCUUCUCCGUCUAA